UACUCGCCAACACGCAAUGGCAAGCGCGGCGUUUUAAUGCCAAAAUUCCUUCCAAGUAAAAUUGGAAGAGACUAUGUCCAGCAGUGGAUGAAACAAGGCUGAUGAAGAAGACAUCCAUAACCAUUGAAAAAUCUUUUAGAAUAUUGUGAAGUGUUAAAACCUGAUUAUGGUCAACAAUGUCUGAACAGUACGAGUAAUAUUUUUUUCUAUGUACGAUUUCAGUCAAAGGGAGAAGGAGAUAAACAUUUAUUUUGACAUAAACUUAUUAUCAUACUUAAAUUAAGUGUUACGUCCCGGACGCGGAUGUUGGAUUAUUGAAAGACACGGAAUCGCGCCGCGAACGUGAGGCUUUGUGUGGAGUGUAAAUGUCCUUUUUGGGUCAAUGGAUUUAACCAAUUUACUCUGGGAUGGACGAGGCUGUGUGAAUGCUGUUGUGGAUGGAUGAACGCGUAUGUGCGUGUGUGUGUGUAAGAUUGAAGGAGGUUGAUAGAUAAAAGAGUUGCAAGAAUUUAUUUACGUUUGAGGAUUUGUUCUGAGUUAAGUCGUACUCGAAGUAGAAGCAUAGAGAAAGUCGCGAGGGCGAGCUUCUGCUCGGCUUCCCGCGUCACCUUUUAUAGGUAAGUGAUGAGACACCCCCGCGCAGGUUCCUCAUUACCCAAUCAGAAGUAAGGUGCAUCUUACGCCAUUAAAAAUGAGUCAUAUGGGUUUUUCUUGCGAUUCAUUAGAACUGUUAUUCUUUCAGCGUUAUCGCUGCCGAUUGCUUCAUCCGAAGCGAUGAUCUGAUACCUCGGGGUAUCCCUACCCAGAAGAUAUUGUUUAACACACAAAUGGCUGUAUGAGCGAGUAGACUAGAUAUUCGAUGGCGAAUUAUAAUUUAGUGCAAGAAAGAUUGUUUGGCGUGCAAAACGUUACGCGAACGUAACAUAAGGUAAGGUCGAAAAAAUAUGUUCAGACAUUGUGGAAAUAUGUUCAAAAGUUGUAGGGUUUGGAGGGGAACAUAAGUUUGUGACCAUAACUUCACGUAUAAUCAACAAUUUAGAGUUAUUUUAAGACCAAUUUAAAUUUUUUAUCGGAAAUAUAACUUUUUUUUUACACAAAUCGAUUUUUUGUUUAUUCAUUUUGUGAAAGUACUAAAAUAAGAACG